ensembl:lncRNA
UUCGUCUGACAAUUAUGCCAGUCGGUCUGACAGCUGAUCGCGAAUUGUCGUUCAAAACGUCCGCUCGGAUCAAGGCCGUUAUUCCGCGGUCAUGUGGUGGGCCACUGCCCUUCUCGGCCCUGUUCAUUGGUGGAGAGCGGCAGCGCAGGUCCGCUGCGCGAGCGGCCGAGGGCCCGUGUUAUUGUGACGCAGGUCAAGCGCGUGAGGAGUCGGCUCGUUUCAAUUCGGCCGCGCCGCGUCCAACGGCUAACGAAGCCCAAUAGUGUGGAGGCGCCCAAACGUCUCGAAAACGGCGCACUCCAAUCACGUCUGUUGAAACGGAUUAUCGGAUCCUUUUCUCCUAGCGACGUGGAGAGUCGAAUGCUGGAAAAGCACUGGUUUGGAAGCCUUGAGAAAUAACAAUACGAAUAAGGGAAAAAUAAAAAAAAGACCCUUUUUUUCACGGAUAUCGGAGUUGUAAUGCAACAUGAUGGGGUCACUCGAUCGUCGCUGAUCACCUCGUAUUACCGAGAAAAGGAUCCACGGUUUCACGUCUGUAAGAAGACUCCGCCCCCAGUUCCUCCACGCAUCAAGCCCCUCAUAGCACUGAAUGUUCAGAGCAGCACCGAGUCUGCUCAGGACACCUACCUGGACAACCAGGACAAGCGCGACGAGGCCAACAGCCAGUCAGGACGCAGCAACUCCUCAGACAGCGUCACCAGCUCAAGGACGGGAAGCUUAGCCAAGGGCGCCAAGCGGCCGCCCCUGCUGCCCCAGGCCCCGAUUCCUGCCCCGCGGGAACCACCCUUGCCCCUGCCCAGUGCCAGGGUGAGCAGCCCCCCUCUUCCCUCCCCAGCUCCCGAGACUCCGCCCAUAAGCAUCACUCUCGUGACAGACGAACCCCAAGCUGCUCCCAGGCGAAAACUUUCAUCUAUCGGUAUCCAGGUGUGUGUGUGUGUGUGUGUGCGCGCGCGCAUCACGUUUUAACUCCCACAUUCCUUCUCAUUCUGUCACUUGGCCCCCUGGUUAGUUACAUAAUUUUGAAAAUACAUACUGCAAAGCAAACACUCAUCAUGCCUGAAGAAAUAGUGUGCAAUAAAUUCAGCUGUGAAUUGCUGCUAUUAUGCAAAUCUCCAUCUGAUCAUUU